CGACCUCCUGGCGCAUGCCAUGGUGGUGGAAAGCUUUAGCGGUUUUGGAUGGACUCGCGGCCUAUCAGCUUGUUGGUUGGGGUAAUGGCCCACCAAGGCGACGACGGGUAGCCGGCCUGAGAGGGUGACCGGCCACACUGGGACUGAGACACGGCCCAGACUCCUACGGGAGGCAGCAGUGGGGAAUAUUGCACAAUGGGCGAAAGCCUGAUGCAGCGACGCCGCGUGAGGGAUGACGGCCUUCGGGUUGUAAACCUCUUUCAGCAGGGAAGAAGCGAAAGUGACGGUACCUGCAGAAGAAGCGCCGGCUAACUACGUGCCAGCAGCCGCGGUAAUACGUAGGGCGCAAGCGUUAUCCGGAAUUAUUGGGCGUAAAGAGCUCGUAGGCGGUUUGUCGCGUCUGCUGUGAAAGCCCGGGGCUCAACCCCGGGUCUGCAGUGGGUACGGGCAGACUAGAGUGCAGUAGGGGAGACUGGAAUUCCUGGUGUAGCGGUGAAAUGCGCAGAUAUCAGGAGGAACACCGAUGGCGAAGGCAGGUCUCUGGGCUGUAACUGACGCUGAGGAGCGAAAGCAUGGGGAGCGAACAGGAUUAGAUACCCUGGUAGUCCAUGCCGUAAACGUUGGGCACUAGGUGUGGGGGACAUUCCACGUUUUCCGCGCCGUAGCUAACGCAUUAAGUGCCCCGCCUGGGGAGUACGGCCGCAAGGCUAAAACUCAAAGGAAUUGACGGGGGCCCGCACAAGCGGCGGAGCAUGCGGAUUAAUUCGAUGCAACGCGAAGAACCUUACCAAGGCUUGACAUGAACCGGUAAGACCUGGAAACAGGUCCCCCACUUGUGGCCGGUUUACAGGUGGUGCAUGGUUGUCGUCAGCUCGUGUCGUGAGAUGUUGGGUUAAGUCCCGCAACGAGCGCAACCCUCGUUCUAUGUUGCCAGCGGGUUAUGCCGGGGACUCAUAGGAGACUGCCGGGGUCAACUCGGAGGAAGGUGGGGACGACGUCAAAUCAUCAUGCCCCUUAUGUCUUGGGCUUCACGCAUGCUACAAUGGCCGGUACAAAGGGUUGCGAUACUGUGAGGUGGAGCUAAUCCCAAAAAGCCGGUCUCAGUUCGGAUUGAGGUCUGCAACUCGACC
rnacentral:rRNA from 1 species